UACGUAGGGUGCAAGCGUUGUCCGGAAUUAUUGGGCGUAAAGAGCUCGUAGGCGGUUUGUCGCGUCUGCUGUGAAAACCCGAGGCUCAACCUCGGGCCUGCAGUGGGUACGGGCAGACUAGAGUGCGGUAGGGGAGAUUGGAAUUCCUGGUGUAGCGGUGGAAUGCGUAGAUAUCUGGAGGAACACCGGUGGCGAAGGCGGCAUCCUGGACCGACACUGACACUGAGGAGCGAAAGCCAGGGGAGCAAACGGG
rnacentral:rRNA from 1 species